AGACACACACACACACACAUAUGUGUUAUAUGUUAUAUAUAGAUAUAUGUGUGUGUGUGUGUGUGUGUGUGUGU